UACGUAGGGGGCAAGCGUUGUCCGGAAUCAUUGGGCGUAAAGAGCGUGUAGGCGGCCCGAUAAGUCCGCUGUGAAAGUCCAGGGCUCAACCCUGGAAUGCCGGUGGAUACUGUCGGGCUCGAAUCCGGAAGAGGUGAGUGGAAUUCCUGGUGUAGCGGUGAAAUGCGCAGAUAUCAGGAGGAACACCAAUGGCGAAGGCAGCUCUCUGGUACGUGACUGACACUGAGACGCGAAAGCGUGGGGAGCGAACAGG
rnacentral:rRNA from 1 species